CUAUCAAUUUAGAAACAAUGGAUACAGUUGUGCUCUUUAUUGCAAUUUUCCCUUUAAGUGUCCUCUCCCAGACAUUACGAGAAUCAGGCCCAGGGAUUGUAAAACCUUCACAACAAAUAAAACUCAUCUGUACAGUGUCUGGGUUUGAGUUAUCCAGCUAUGGUGUGCACUGGGUUAGGCAACUGCCUGAAUCGAAAUUGGAGUGGAUUGGAGUUAUAUGGGCUGGUGGUAGCACUAACUAUGCUGAUUUACUAAAAAACAGACUCUCAAUCGCCAAAGACAAUGCAAAGAAAGAGGUCUACUUGCAAAUCAAUGGAGCAGAAAUGAAAGAUUCUGGAACAUAUUACUGUGCAAGAGACACAGCAUCAGAAAGUAACUGACAGGGCGCUCAAUAU